rnacentral:pre_miRNA from 1 species
AACCUCCUGGCUCCAUACAUGCCCGUAGCAUAGUACAUAUAUGAAAAUGUAUUUGUACUAUGCUACGGGCAUGUAUGGAGCCAGGAGGUU